CUUGUAGCAAGUAGUUUGUAAUUGAAUAAAUGAGGUAUGCCACUUUCUUUUCCUGUUGCAUUUUCAAAGAAAAACUGUGGAUGCUCCUGGAUGACUUUUAUGUAUUUGGGAAAGAGAUAAUGACAAACAUGAGUCUAGGACUUGAAGUCGCCUGUGCUUUCCUCCUUAAAGUGUUGCUGUCCCUCCCUUUAAGAGGGGAGGCUAGUUCUCUCCCUUUGAAUCUCCACUGAUUUUGACUCACCACGCC
rnacentral:lncRNA from 1 species